rnacentral:rRNA from 1 species
ACUGAACGCUGGCGGCAGGCCUAACACAUGCAAGUCGAGCGGGGUUUUCGGACCUAGCGGCGGACGGGUGAGUAAUGCGUAGGAAGCUACCCGAUAGAGGGGGAUACUAGUUGGAAACGACUGUUAAUACCGCAUAAUGUCUACGGACCAAAGUGUGGGACCUUCGGGCCACAUGCUAUCGGAUGCGCCUACGUGGGGAUUAGCUAGUUGGUGAGGUAAUGGCUCACCAAGGCGACGAUCCCUAGCUGGUCUGAGAGGAUGAUCAGCCACACAGGAACUGAGGCACGGUCCAGAAGCCUACGGGAGGCAGCAGUGGGGAAUAUUGGACAAUGGGCGCAAGCCUGAUCCAGCCAUGCCGCGUGUGUGAAGAAGGCCUUCGGGUUGUAAAGCACUUUCAGUAGGGAGGAAGCGUUGUGUGUUAAUAGUACACAGCGUUGACGUUACCUACAGAAGAAGCACCGGCUAACUCUGUGCCAGCAGCCGCCGUAAUAC